CUAGUGUUUUGUCAUACCAUUGCAAAAAGGACUGUGGGGAUGAUUCUUCCCAUUCAUAGUUCCCUCUCUGAAAGAAUAGGUAAGAAAUAUUUCAAAGAUAUUGUCAUGUUUUUAUGAUUUUCGGUUAUUGGUACUCCACAUCAUAACAUCAUGUAGUGAACGUACCUGGCUCUCAGAAGAGAAGGACUACUACAGUCCCCACGGUACUUUGCUCCUCUGUUACCAUUUUCCAGCCGGAGGGAAAAGAUAAAAGCUUGCAGUAUAAAAACUUGCAGAUCACGAGACCUCGUCCCUUUUUCUGCCGUCUCUCGUCUUGGCAGCACCUCGCUCUCCAGCCAUCUUAUCGUCGGUAGUAGAGUAAGGCCUACCUUGAUUUUGGGACAUUCUCUCUCUCUCUGUAUUGGAUUUAUCAGCUUAAAUUGUAAUUAUAUUGUAUUAUAGUGUGUUGUUUUGCAUUCCGAUAUCUUAUUUAGUAAAUUAGUUUGUUUCUCCUCAGAUUGUUGCCGCUGUUCUUUGCUCUCAGGGCCAUCUCCUUCCCCUUUUCCCCUUUUCCCUUUUCCCGGGGUGUGGGCCCGUGGAUCCCCCGUCCCCUUCGUCACGGAACCGGGCUGAACGCCCGUAAACCGUUGACAGAUAUUAAGUGAACUCUUCCUGAGUUUUAUGGUAAUUAUACUUUUCAAAUCUUUUUAUCUGAUACGAAACCAAAUUGGUUUGUCUUCUUAAUGUCAGGUUUUUCACAUAUAUAAGGUGCAUACUGCAGUGUAAGAUAGCUGUGCAUCCUGCCUCUCUCUCUUGGAUACAGGGUGAUACUUUGAAGUACAGCGUGAAAGCUGGAUGGUCAUGCUAUGCUGCUCUGGGAAUUUCAUGCAGCAGAAUGAAGCCGUGCAUAAUGGAGGUGAAAGGAUGUGGUUCACAGAGGGGGCCUGUGAGAGAACCUGGCACUUGCGGGGAAUCCUCAGCUCAAAGUUUUCUACAGAUGUUGCAUAGAAGUUGUUGUACCAGAAGAGAUAGAGGGA
rnacentral:lncRNA from 1 species